rnacentral:misc_RNA from 1 species
UCCGGCUUAUCACCGGCAGUCCCUCUAGAGUGCCCAACUAAAUGAUGGCAACUAAAGGCGAGGGUCGCGCUCGUUGCGGGACUUAACCCAACACCUCACGGCACGAGCUGACGACAGCCAUGCAGCACCUAGUUUCGUGUCCUUGCGGAAAGAGUCCUUUCAGACCCGGUCACUAACUUUCAAGCCCUGGUAAGGUUCCUCGCGUACCAUCGAAUUAAACCACAUGCUCCUCCGCUUGUGCGGGCCCCCGUCAAUUCCUUUGAGUUUCACCGUUGCCGGCGUACUCCCCAGGUGGAUCACUUAACGCUUUCGCUUAGCCGCGUACUGUAUAUCGCACACAGCGAGUGAUCAUAGUUUACAGUGUGGACUAC